GCCCAGUGAUGAGACCAAGGCGAAUACGAGCGGACUGAAUGAGAGCUGGGUUCCUCUUUGCCUCGACCGGCAGGUAAUCUUGGCAGUGCAGAGAAACGUUCCUGCUCUGCUGUAAGGGCCUGCCUACAGUGACCCAGCUCAACCCAAAUGAUUCCUCUAAAGUCAUAGAGUAAUCAGUGUGUGUGUGUGUGUGUGUGUGUGUGGCAAGGAGGUCACCCAGCUCUCUCAGACCUUCAGUCAGCAGUGAGUUGCAUCUUUGGUAAUCUGAGGGCA